rnacentral:lncRNA from 1 species
UGGAUCAAACCAAUCAAUAACAAUUAUAUCAAUACUAAGAGAUUAAGCCAUCUUACCAUUUCUCCAAAGCCAUAACCAACAUUACUCAAUUCCCUACUAAUUCAACAUUAUUCAUAAAGUAGGUCAACUUACCAUCCUUUCCAAGCCACCUUCACCAUUCUCAUGAUCAAACAAAUCACAGUAGAAAGCAUAGGUAAUGAUGCUAUUCAACUAUACCAUUUAAGCUAAGCAUAAGC